GUUCCUUGGAAAAGGACAGCUGAGAGGGUGAGACUCCCGUCCGCCUGGCAGAGUGAGCCUUUGUCAAAGAGUCGAGUUGUUUGGGAUUGCAGCUCUAAUUUGGUGGUAAAUUCCAUCUAAAGCUAAAUAUUGGUGGGAGACCGAUAGCGUACAAGUACCGUGAGGGAAAGAUGCAAAGAACUUUGAAAAGAGAGUUAAAGAGUACCUGAAAUUGCUGAAACGGAAGCGAAGGAAACCAGUGUUUGUUUGUUCAUAUUUCCCUGGCCACUUGUGGUUUGGGCGCUGUGAGCUUGCGUCGGUUUGCUUUGGUUAAUCCCUUUGGAAGAGCGCAGUCAGAGUUGAUGUCU
rnacentral:rRNA from 2 species